AUGCUAAAAAUAGACCUAGCUAAAGCUCUUGACCGUUUAGAAUGGAACUUCAUUGUCUCGGCUCUUUCUCGUAAAGGGCUGCAUGGUCAUUUUAUCAAUCUUGUGCAUGCUUGCAUUUCUUCGCCUACUUUCUCUGUUCUCAUUAAUGGUCAGCCGUCUCCCAAAUUUAAGUCUCACAGAGGUAUCAGACAGGGUUGUCCCAUGUCUCCUUACCUUUUUGUUCUUGCCAUCAAUGAGCUUUCUAUCAUGCUUAAUGAAGCUGCUCAGGCCAAUCAUUUGCAAGGCAUUUCUCUAGGUCCAAACUGCCCUUCUAUUCAUUCUCUCCUUUUCGCAGAUGACCUUUUGGUAUGUGGACAGGCUACUGCGCAGGAGGCUCAGACUAUGUCAGAUUUGAUUCAGCACUUUUGUUCCUUCUGGUCAAACUCCUAA
rnacentral:rRNA from 1 species